rnacentral:tRNA from 1 species
CGGGGCGUACCGCAGCGUGCUAGCGCACUUGUUUCGGGUACAAGGGGUCGGAGGUUCAAAUCCUCUCGCCCCGACCA